rnacentral:rRNA from 1 species
AGUGAACGCUGGCGGUAGGCCUAACACAUGCAAGUCGAACGGCAGCACAGUAAGAGCUUGCUCUUACGGGUGGCGAGUGGCGGACGGGUGAGGAAUACAUCGGAAUCUACUUUUUCGUGGGGGAUAACGUAGGGAAACUUACGCUAAUACCGCAUACGACCUACGGGUGAAAGCAGGGGAUCUUCGGACCUUGCGCGAUUGAAUGAGCCGAUGUCGGAUUAGCUAGUUGGCGGGGUAAAGGCCCACCAAGGCGACGAUCCGUAGCUGGUCUGAGAGGAUGAUCAGCCAAACUGGAACUGAGACACGGUCCAGACUCCUACGGGAGGCAGCAGUGGGGAAUAUUGGACAAUGGGCGCAAGCCUGAUCCAGCCAUACCGCGUGGGCGAAGAAGGCCUUCGGGUUGUAAAGCCCUUUUGUUGGGAAAGAAAAGCAGCAGGUUAAUACCCCGCUGUUCUGACGGUACCCAAAGAAUAAGCACCGGCUAACUUCGUG